UAAGGUCUGCAAGAAUUGAAUGCAGAUCCACUAUUCCCCCCCUUUGCAUUUACUGCAAUGCAUAUUUACCUGGAGCUAGCAUCACAUACUGUAUGUCAAGUGCCAAGUCAGUUUUCACUAAAUACAAAUUAAAAAAUAUAUAUAUGAACCUUUUCAUUAGCUUUGGCUGCAUGUUUCUGGAUAAUGUCAAUAUCAAUAUUUGUAAGUACUCUUAUGAACUCAUAUGAUGCAUCUCCCACUUUUUUUUAUCUGCAAGGUACCUGACAUAGUGUUUGGACAGACUUAUUUCUGGUAGUAACUUCUCCAUUGUGAAACUACUUUCCACUACAGUAGCUUGCGGACAAUGUCGGCUACUACAAGACCGAGACCUGCAUUAAAAGAUGAUUACAUUUAGGAGUGAAUGGUAAAGAAGGUUCUGAUUUUGUUUAAAUUACAGUAUAUGUUUGAAAAUUAUUUAUUGAUGCUCAAAGAAUAUCCUGUAGAUGAUUAUGUGGAAAAUAGUUCAUCCUUCACAGUUUUCUCGGCAAGCUGGAACUUCCAGUUAUACUGGUUGUAUAUUUAUGGGUUAUAGACUUAUAGUUGAAAUUUUCAAAUGAUUAGAUAUUUUUGUAGUUGUAGUUGGAUAUACAAGUGCCUAAAAACUGAAGUCGACACUUCUUCACUAGAAGCUAUGUUCACUAGCUUGAUUUCUCCUAUGAGAUGUAGAAUUUUUAUUUCCGCUAGAUUGUUGUAGUUUCCUUUUUUGCUGUAGCUGCUUAUCUAUCAGAGUAUCUAUGCAUGUGUGGGUUUAUGUUUCACUAACUGCCCUAUAAAUAAUCUGAAUUUCUUUCAAUUGAUUGAUUGUUUUGUAAUUUUCAAUCCAUGUCCCAUAGCAUAGUUCCUCGACACCGGGUCAAUCCUGGUUUAUGAAAAAAUCAGGACUCUGAACCAUGCAGUCUACUCAUAGUGAACCACAGGUCUGAACCAUGCAUUCUUAACCCGGUCAACCAUGUUUUGCCUGUGGUGAACCAUGGGGUCUGAACCAUGCUGCCUGAACCAGAUCGACCGUAUAUCUCCGUAGGUCGUUGAAAUAUGAGUCGGGCCAUGUCUUAAGGUUGUGGAAAUGUGAGACGAACUAGGAAGUGAGAACUAUGAAAAAAAAUCACAUCAGGAGCACAGUCAUGGAUAGUGAUCAACAUAUUAUUAUUCUAGGUGACCCAAUAUUCUUGGUUAUAAUGGAGGACUAAAGAGGGUCCAAUUUAUGUGCAGGUGAAGAAAAUCACCAAAAUGGAAGGAGUUCUGUAUUAUGAUCUAUUACAAUGUGCUUGAAGCAAUACAGAACCAUGAUUAUACUUGGUAUAGUACAAACUAAAUGUACAAUACAGACUUCCAAGUAGAAUCUUUGGCCUACAGCUCACCUGUUAUCUGUCACUUUAGCAGUUACUUGGGUGGGACAACCAAUGUAUAGAUAAGAAAUGCCGAAACGAAGAUAAUCACCCCUACUAAGGUACAUAUUGGGCUUGUUCACAACAUCAAGUUAGACCUCUCGGCUCUUUUGAUUGGAUCGACUUCUUCUGACAAUGGAUACUCAAUGCGCCGUGGGUUACAGGUCACAUAUUUGUUCGGUGAGAACUCUGAGAAUAGGGUCUUCUUCCCUUUCUUCUUAAAACUAGACCAAGCCUUAUCCCAUUCGGUUGAUGAUGUAUCACCUGAAAAGUUAGAUAAGAGAAAUGAUUCAACCUGCAAACAUGUUUUCAUCGUAACCUGUUAUAACAAACUAUGUGCGACAGGACCUUUUUAAUCUAACUUCAAAAAGGAACUUCACAAUCCACCACUCAUUAUCCAUCAAAUUUAUAUAUGUACAUCUAUACAUCUAUCUCUCCCUAAUAAUAAUUCUUUCCCUAAUCUAUCCCUAAUAAUAAAGCAUGGAUUGACUUUGUCGGAUUCACCGUCACAAUACGCUUCCUUUCUAUAAAUUUACGCUUUCAGUUUGAAUUUAAAACAUAUACACGAGGUGAUACUAAAGUGUAAGAAAAAAAACUGCUUUUCGUCGUUUGAGGCAG
rnacentral:lncRNA from 1 species